GCCGCCACCUCAGCGCCCAACGCGGCCGCUACCUGCAACCACCCCCACCUCCACCCCGUAUCGAUCUGCCGCUUUCUCGAUCUACCUCGCCGCCGCUUCCUCGAUAUGCCUUGCCGCCGUUUGGAUCGUUGCGGCGACGUCUUCGUCGGUCUUCAGCUCCAGCACCUACAUCCUGAAGGAGCACGAUCUCGUCGCUGGUUUCAUCGGUUCUGGGACCCAAAUUGCUGAGGGGACUUCCACAACUUGUUUUACUUGAUUUCCCUGUCUGAGACUACCAUCUUGUCCUAAGUGGAUUUUCCUUUCUCCUUCCCUCAUUUAUCUGCUACGAAUUCAUGUCUAUUGGCAAGUUAAAUUGUCUCUGUUAUGUCAUUAGUUAAUUUGUCUUUACUGGUAAUGGUUUUUCUGACAUUUUUAAUUAUAUCUAGGAUGGCGAUGGACAUGUUGACCAUAUACCUGCACUAUGAAGGUGCAAAUCAGGAAGCCAAGAUUUUACAAAUAUCCAUGAUGAGGCGUGAUGUCUCGUAUUAUGACUUAAUCUUUGAUGAUCGAGGAAGUUGGCUUUCAGGCAAUUGACUUUCUGUAAUCUAUGCGGAAAAACCCGUCUAGGUGAGGGAAACGAGGGAUCUUACAGGUGAAUCUUUUUCAAGACUAAACCAACAGGGGACUGGAAUUGAACACCCACACCCAGGUUGCUAAAAAAAGGCGUACUUCUUCCAUCAAGGCUGCUUCAAUAGUAGUAUUCUGAGUAUGGAUUCAAGAACUAAGGCCGGUGGUAUUGAGUUAGGUGCUGAAUUUGCCCUUGUGCGCAGAGAUCAACCUAUUCUUGAUAAUGAGGAUUUG